rnacentral:rRNA from 1 species
CCUACGGGUGGCUACAGUCGAGAAUCAUUCACAAUGGGGGAAACCCUGAUGGUGCGACGCCGCGUGGGGGAAUGAAGGUCUUCGGAUUGUAAACCCCUGUCAUGUGGGAGCAAAUUAAAAAGAUCGUACCACACGAGGAAGAGACGGCUAACUCUGUUCCAGCAGCCGCGGUAAUACAGAGGUCUCAAGCGUUGUUCGGCAUCACUGGGCGUAAAGCGUGCGUAGGCUGUUUCGUAAGUCGUGUGUGAAAGGCGCGGGCUCAACCCGCGGACGGCACAUGAUACUGCGAGACUAGAGUAAAGGAGGGGGAACCGGAAUUCGCGGUGUAGCAGUGAAAUGCGUAGAUAUCGAGAGGAACACUCGUGGCGAAGGCGGGUUCCUGGACAGUAACUGACGCUGAGGCACGAAGGCCAGGGGAGCGAAAGGGAUUAGAUACCCUGGUAGUC